UAUUAUUGAUUUCGGUUCCGUUUAAAUUAGAAUUAAUAAGGUUUUGAGAGAAAAGAAAAACUCACACGCGAUGGGUUUUUAAGAAUUCAGCGAGUUUGUUUCACCAUAAGCGAUUUUGGGGGUUAUAGCACACAGGAAUCGUAGACACUCGCGCAACGCGCGUUUGGUGAGAGUGGGUGAGAAAUAGAGCGUUCUGAUUGGCUAAAAAGAAUGAAAUAGUAGUGGUAUAGCUCCUUGCUUCCUCCUAAUAUUAUGAACUUUUCGUCUUCUUCUCUCAUUUGAGUUACUAUGUCUCUGCUAAACGAAGAUUUUCCUCUUCCGUGGCUCAUGGCAAGCGAUCUUCGAGAAGAUAGCUCAAGAUAGAGCUCUCAUUCUCCUCACAAGUUCUCAAGACCAUCUCACUUAUUACCAAGCCAAGGCUCUCUCGGAGCCGCGCAUGAGCGUAACCUCACUUUCACUCUGUUUUUCUACCACUUCACUUUUCGUGUGCUCAAGUGCGACGAAUCGCUUAGGGAGUUUCUUGGUUUAAUGAUGAAUUGCCUUGGAUUAGAAGCAAUGCUCUCAAGGUACUCAUUACCAUAUUCCCCCACCAUUGUGAUAGAUUAAGUAAUCUUUUCUGAUAGUUGAUUACUGAAGUCAAACCUCUCUUCAUAGUAUGGACUUGAUUAUGUAGAUCAUGGUAAAUAGUGAAUUGUUUGUUUGGUGUAUGGUCUAAUUCAGAGUUCUAAAUGAUGGGAGCUGUUGUUAUUUGAUGAUACUAAGUUUCUGAACUAGAUUUGUUGGUAGCAACAUUUUUCUCGACUAGAUGCUAUUUAACGUUUCCUUUUUGAUUCUUCUCUUUUUUUGUGCUCCUUAUGAUUGAAUAGUUUUUCUUUAUAUAUCUUUAGUGAUACAAAAGCUCAGACGCUAGUUUCUUUGCUAUAUAUUACUAUGAUGGGUUAGACAUACUUUCAAGGAUCUCUGGGUAUGUUUGGAAUUGAAUGAUCCAUUAUGUGGAAAUAUACUCAAAAGUGAGCUCAGUUAUGAUUCAGUUAUGUGUAACUCUAAAUCAAGCUGGAGUUAAACUUUUGUCGUAUUUAAGAAUGUCAGCUAACUGAAACAGCAUUGAAAACUUGUUGGUAUGAUCCUAUGUUAAAUUAAUUUUAUAUUACAUACGGUUCGUUAUCUUUCUCUAUUCCGGACUUCCUAUCACCAUAUUCUUGAUAAAUGACCUCUUUUAAGUUUUUCAAAAUUCUUUGUAGUAAUAAUCUGGUUGGUUGCAAACAAUCGCUUACUUGAGUCUUUUUUUUUUGAAGUUUUGUCGAACUCCCACCUCCUAGAGAAGUGUAUCUUUUGUUUAUUAAACUUGUUUCAUUAGUACUGUGUGAACUGGCUGUAUUAAGUUUCUCAUAACUCUGUAUCUUCUUUGCUUGUUGCAGCUUUUGGCUCAAAGUGCCCAAGAUUCCACAUGUCUUACUUUGUGUGUGAAGCUGAAGGAUCUACUAACCAUAUGUUGCAUGUCUCAACAGUUAACAAUCAAACAUACUUCGAUUAUGAACAAAAUGGUGAGUUUUUCUGUUGCUUUCAUGUUUAUGUUCAUUCCAGAGUUUAGUUCAUUGACCUCUAGUCUAGGGAAAUGGAAGGGAUUCAACAAACCUGCAGCAGUUAUAGAUAACAAGAGUACUUACGGUGGUACCUAAACAAGAUGUGUUUAGAUACUUUUGUGUCCUUAGUUGUUUCGUACAAAUAUUUAAUUUUAGGUUGAAAAUUUCAGUGGUAUGCAAUAUUAUUGACAGCAAUCCUUAAUGAACACAGAUACUAUAGCAUAUCGUGUUCUGCAGAGCACACGCAUGGGAAAAUAUGUGGCUUCCUGGAAGAGUAGAAAUUGGAAAGAGAGUAAACAGCGACAGAAGGUGUAGCAGACACAUCAAAGAG
rnacentral:lncRNA from 1 species